GAUGAAGAACGCAGCGAAAUGCGAAAAGUAAUGUGAAUUGCAGAAUUCAGUGAAUCAUCGAAUCUUUGAACGCACAUUGCGCCCGCCAGUAUUCUGGCGGGCAUGCCUGUCUGAGCGUCAUUUCAACCCUCACGCCCCUAGGGCGUGGUGUUGGGGAUCGGCCAAGGCCCGCAAGGGACGGCCGGCCCCUAAAUCUAGUGGCGGACCCAUCGUGGCCUCCCCUGCGAAGUAGUAAUAUAUUCCGCAUCGGAUAGCGAUGAGCCCCUGCCGUUAAACCCCCAACUCUUUCAAGGUUGACCUCAGAUCAGGUAGGAAUACCCGCUGAACUUAAGCAUAUCGAUAAGCGGAGA
rnacentral:misc_RNA from 1 species